GAUGAACGCUGGCGGCGUGCCUAAUACAUGCAAGUCGAGCGAACAGAUAAGGGGCUUGCUCCUUUGACGUUAGCGGCGGACGGGUGAGUAACACGUGGGUAACCUACCUAUAAGACUGGGAUAACUUCGGGAAACCGGAGCUAAUACCGGAUAACAUUUGGAACCGCAUGGUUCUAAAGUGAAAGAUGGUUUUGCUAUCACUUAUAGAUGGACCCGCGCCGUAUUAGCUAGUUGGUAAGGUAACGGCUUACCAAGGCGACGAUACGUAGCCGACCUGAGAGGGUAAUCGGCCACACUGGAACUGAGACACGGUCCAGACUCCUACGGGAGGCAGCAGUAGGGAAUCUUCCGCAAUGGGCGAAAGCCUGACGGAGCAACGCCGCGUGAGUGAUGAAGGGUUUCGGCUCGUAAAACUCUGUUAUUAGGGAAGAACAAACGUGUAAGUAACUGUGCACGUCUUGACGGUGCCUAAUCAGAAAGCCACGGCUAACUACGUG
rnacentral:rRNA from 1 species